UACGAAGGGGGCUAGCGUUGUUCGGAAUUACUGGGCGUAAAGGGCGCGUAGGCGGCCAACUAAGUCAGACGUGAAAUCCCCAGGCUUAACCUGGGAACUGCGUCUGAUACUGGAUGGCUUGAAUUCGGGAGAGGGAUGCAGAAUUCCAGGUGUAGCGGUGAAAUGCGUAGAUAUCUGGAGGAAUACCGGUGGCGAAGGCGGCAUCCUGGACCGACAUUGACGCUGAGGAGCGAAAGCUAGGGGAGCAAACGGG
rnacentral:rRNA from 1 species